UACGAAGGGGGGCUAGCGUUGCUCGGAAUUACUGGGCGUAAAGGGUGCGUAGGCGGGCUGCCAAGUUUGAGGUGAAAUCCUCCGGCUCAACCGGGGAAGUGCCUUGAAUACUGGCGGUCUGGAGGGAGGUAGGGGCGUGCGGAACUAACGGUGGAGCGGUGAAAUGCGUUGAUAUCGUUAGGAACUCCGGUGGCGAAGGCGGCACGCUAGACCUCUUCUGACGCUGAGGCACGAAAGCCAGGGGAGCGAACGGG
rnacentral:rRNA from 1 species